GGGGGUGUGGCUCAGUGGUAGAGCACUGGCCUAACAUGCAUGAGGCCCUGGAUUCAAUUUUUGGCACUACAA
rnacentral:tRNA from 1 species